rnacentral:tRNA from 1 species
GAUUAGUAAGUUAAGUUAAACUACGGGGUUCAUGUCUCCAUAAUAUGAUU